rnacentral:rRNA from 1 species
GACGAACGCUGGCGGCGUGCUUAACACAUGCAAGUCGAACGGAAAGGCCCUGCUUGCAGGGUACUCGAGUGGCGAACGGGUGAGUAACACGUGGGUGAUCUGCCCUGCACUUCGGGAUAAGCCUGGGAAACUGGGUCUAAUACCGGAUAGGAGCCAUUUUUAGUGUGAUGGUUGGAAAGUUUUUUCGGUGUAGGAUGAGCUCGCGGCCUAUCAGCUUGUUGGUGGGGUAAUGGCCUACCAAGGCGGCGACGGGUAGCCGGCCGGGGAGGGUGGACGGCCACAGUGGGACUGAGAGACGGCCCAGACUCCGACGGGAGGCAGCAGUGGGGAAUAGUGCACAAUGGGCGCAAGCCUGAUGCAGCGACGCCGCGUGGGGGAUGACGGCCUUCGGGUUGGAAACUCCUUUCGCUAGGGACGAAGCUUUUUGUGACGGUACCUAGAUAAGAAGCACCGGCUAACUACGUG